CACGUAGGGGGCGAGCGUUGUCCGGAUUUAUUGGGCGUAAAGAGCUCGUAGGCGGCUUGGUAAGUCGGGUGUGAAACCUCCAGGCUCAACCUGGAGACGCCACUCGAUACUGCCAUGGCUAGAGUCCGGUAGGGGAGCGUGGAAUUCCUGGUGUAGCGGUGAAAUGCGCAGAUAUCAGGAGGAACACCAGCGGCGAAGGCGGCGCUCUGGGCCGGAACUGACGCUGAGGAGCGAAAGCGUGGGGAGCGAACAGG
rnacentral:rRNA from 1 species